GAUCCUGGCUCAGGAUGAACGCUGGCGGCGUGCCUAAUACAUGCAAGUAGAACGCUGAAGGAGGAGCUUGCUCUUCUGGAUGAGUUGCGAACGGGUGAGUAACGCGUAGGUAACCUGCCUGGUAGCGGGGGAUAACUAUUGGAAACGAUAGCUAAUACCGCAUAACAGUAGAUGUUGCAUGACAUUUGCUUGAAAGGGGCAAUUGCUCCACUACCAGAUGG
rnacentral:rRNA from 1 species